AUUGAACGCUGGCGGCAUGCUUUACACAUGCAAGUCGAACGGCAGCGCGGGCUUCGGCCUGGCCGCGAGUGGCGAACGGGUGAGUAAUGCAUGGGAACGUGCCCAGCUGUGGUGGAUAGUACGGCGAAAGAAGGGUUAAUACUACCUACGAUCUGCGGGUGACAGCGGGGGAGCGAAGGACCUCGUGUCAUUGGAGGGGGGGAUGCCGGAUUAGCUAGUUGUUGGGGUAAAGGCUUACCACGGAGACGAUCCGGAGCUGGUGGGAGGGGACGACCAGCCACACUGGGACUGGGACACGCACACGACGCCUACGGGAGGCAGCAGUGGGGAAUUUUGGGCAAUGGUGGCAAACAUGACCCAGCCAUCGCGCGUGCGAUAAGGAGGCCCUCGGGUUGUAAAGCCGGUUUGUGCGGGAAGAAAUCCUUUCGGCUAAGACCCCGGGGGGAUGACGGUACCGGAAGAAUAAGCACCGGCUAACUACGUG
rnacentral:rRNA from 1 species